rnacentral:rRNA from 1 species
UACAGAGGUCUCAAGCGUUGUUCGGAUUCAUUGGGCGUAAAGGGUGUGUAGGUGGCGCCGUAAGUCGGGUGUGAAAUUUCGGAGCUUAACUCCGAAACUGCAUUCGAUACUGCGGUGCUUGAGGACUGGAGAGGAGACUGGAAUUCAUGGUGUAGCAGUGAAAAUGCGUAGAGAUCAUGAGGAAGACCAGUGGCGAAAGGCGGGGUCUCUGGACAGUUCCUGACACUGAGACACGAAAGGCCCAGGGGGAGCAAAACGGGGA